rnacentral:rRNA from 1 species
AGUGAACGCUGGCGGUAGGCCUAACACAUGCAAGUCGAACGGCAGCACAGUAAGAGCUUGCUCUUACGGGUGGCGAGUGGCGGACGGGUGAGGAAUACAUCGGAAUCUACUUUUUCGUGGGGGAUAACGUAGGGAAACUUACGCUAAUACCGCAUACGACCUACGGGUGAAAGCAGGGGAUCUUCGGACCUUGCGCGAUUGAAUGAGCCGAUGUCGGAUUAGCUAGUUGGCGGGGUAAAGGCCCACCAAGGCGACGAUCCGUAGCUGGUCUGAGAGGAUGAUCAGCCACACUGGAACUGAGACACGGUCCAGACUCAUACGGGAGGCAGCAGUGGGGAAUAUUGGACAAUGGGCGCAAGCCUGAUCCAGCCAUACCGCGUGGGUGAAGAAGGCCUUCGGGUUGUAAAGCCCUUUUGUUGGGAAAGAAAAGCAGCAGGUUAAUACCCCGCUGUUCUGACGGUACCCAAAGAAUAAGCACCGGCUAACUUCGU